GCUAGUCUUGCCACAGUCACCAGUUUUGGAGGAGUGAGAGAGGAGCUUUCCACUCCUCUGAGAAUGUCGAGAGUCUGUCUUAGCCCUCGACGCCUCAGUCUUUGUAGAUCUCAUCCCAGGACCCCAAGGGAGAGGUAAUUGCUGAAGGAUUUUUGCUUCAAACAAGCUCUUGUUUGCAUCAAGUGUGGGGUGCAGCAAAGUGGACUCGGGACUGGCUGAUGUCUGGCUAGAAAUGCCAGGCAAGGGAAACAGUGACUCUAGUGGGGUCAGGAGAGGGGCAUCUGCUGGCCCAGGAGCCCAAGGCAGAGGGGUGAGGCGACUCUGAGGCAGGAGGUCCAAGUUUGCUGGACAAUGGCAGAAACAGAAUUCAAACACCUGUCUUCUAGGAGAAGUUCUGGUCUCUCCUCGGUGCUGCCGCUGCCCCAGGAAGAGUUUCCAGGAGCUGACAAGCAUUCAGGUUAGUCAAGAUGGGAUCAGAUUGAGAAAAGGAGAAGGGAGAGCAUAUUCGUUCUCUUUCUACCUCCCUCCCACAGCCUUUCAUGCUGAUCUCAUCUGACGAGGCUGCUUCCUUCUCCCUGGACUCUACAAGCUCCUGUCAUGAUGUUUCUCAGAUCCUGAAUUCCAGCAAAACAGAUGAUACUAACAAGUUUGAGGAAUGGAAUCAGUAUGAGAACACAGUUUCUUCAUCUCCCUGUCCCAGAACUUCACCCUGGACUCCUCGACCAAUCAACAAUCUCCACACUUCAGCCCACUCUAAAACUCCUAAAAUCCCAAGCCCCAAACUCCUCUGGGAGAUGGAUUUGAGGCUUCCUCCCGUUUCCUUAUGUGGCAGCCCUAUCAUUAAACCUCUUUCUCUGCUGCAA